rnacentral:rRNA from 1 species
UACCAGCACCCCGAGUGGUCGGGACGUUUAUUGGGCCUAAAGCAUCCGUAGCCGGUUCUACAAGUCUUCCGUUAAAUCCAACUGCUUAACAGGUGGGCUGCGGAAGAUACUAUAGAGCUAGGAGGCGGGAGAGGCAAGCGGUACUCGAUGGGUAGGGGUGAAAUUCGUAGAUAUUCGCAAGAACACCAGUGGCGAAGGCGGCUCACUGGCCCGGUACUGACGCUGAGGUGCGAAAGCGUGGGGAGCAAACAGG